GAAUGCCAUUUGUAAAGAAAUAAAUGUAAAUAAUCGUCAAAUGCAGUACACUCGCACGAUGUUGCAAAUGCAUCAAAACGAAGACAUGUAACAGCUUUUUAAAACUGAAUUCUGGGAGUUCAAAGGUCAUAAGUACAAACUGCACUGAGAAAUGGGAAUGGACUUCUGAGUGUGUUGAUGACAAUAUAGGUCACAGGCCCAGUGGUUAAGGCGUCCACCUCGGGAUCGGGAGGUCGAAGGUUCGAGCCCCAUGGAGAGCGUUUGUCAGGGGAGUGUUUGUCAUGGGACUCAUUCUGAAAAGGCCUGUUCGUGAACAGCGAGCUAGUUAAAUGAAUGGUUACCGACUUCUAUCCGCCUAGCGCCUGGCAUAGUGGUAGGAGUUGGGAGAUGCCCACCACAUGUGAACUUGCCAUCAAACUGUCGGCUGGUAAGGUAUCCUGUAGCCCCACACCAUCUCCCCUAACAACAAAGGGACCAGGACUUCUGCUCAUUACUACAGUACCAACACAGAGACCGCAAAAAUUCCUAUGAUAUUAAAUGACAAUUUCCCCAACACUGGCUGGUUCCACUAUUAGUAUGCAGUAGGGGUUUCAACACCUUCAGGAUCCACAUUCUUUCCCACCAUCACUGUCAACUGUAUCAUCAAUACCAGAAUGUAAGUUUUGUAAAUAUGUUCUAUAUAGGCACCAUUUUCAGUGACAUUUUUAGCUUUACAUAGCUAUAUUUUGCCGUCCUUCCACGUUUAUACUUUAGUUAAAGUUUUGAUGCACAUGAUGGAUUUGCUUCAAACUUAAAAAUUAAUCCUCAUCAUCACCCACAUCAUCUGGCACACGGGCCAUAACUCUUGACCAAUAUUUGAUGAAUUACCUCUACCCGUUUACUUAGAAUUUCAGGUUAAAGUUACUGUGCACUUUCACUCUAUCUCAGUUUUUAUUAAAUAGAUUUGAUUCAAACUUAAAAUGGUUGUUCCACAUCAUCACCCAUUUGACACAAGGUUCAUAACUCUGGCACCAAUAUUAAUAGAAUCAUGCCCCUUUUUUACUUAGAAUUUCAGGUUAUUUUUUGUGCAUUUUGACCACAUCCAUCAUCAGCCACAUCAUUUUAUACAAGGGCCAUAAGUAUGACACAAGUAUUACAUGAGUUAUACCCUCUUUUGACACAGGAUGGCUGUAGAAUGAAUAGUAAUUUUGCACAUAACUUAUGUUUUUCUGCAUAAUGUUGCAACUUCAAAUAGAUUCAUGAAAACUAAAAAAAGGACAAGCUGUUAUCAGUUUGUUACAUUAACUGUAUAACACAACCUUGCUAUGCUCUGCAGACAUAUGGUUUUAGCUUGUCAUGAUGUACUACACGAGGUUUCUGACGUAACCCUUGAAUACGGUACAAAAUGCUACUAAUUUUUGUUAAGACUGUAUAGGGACCCUUCCACAGUCUCGUGAAUUUACUACUUGGCCGACUACUUGGCUGACUUUCCUUUGUGGGUUAUAAUACCACACCUGAUCACCUACAUCAUACUGUUGAAAGUUAGUAUCGAGGUCAUAUUUCUUUUUCAUGACCUCACUAGAGACUUUAAGCUUGUUCCUAGCAUAUUCAUGUAUUUCUACUAUUCUACUUUCCAAGGCAUUUAUAUAAUUAGAACCAUAUUUUAGUUUCGUUUCAGCAUUUUCUAAUUCAGGCUGUCCAAAGACAAGGUCAAUUGGGAGCCUUAUUUCAGAGCCAAAGACCAUAGUUGCAGGUGUGACACCAAUGGCUUCAUGUAUAGAACUACAAUGGGCCAUUAAACAUAAAGGUGUGCAGGGUUCCCGAUUGUUCCACUCCAGAGUACCAUGCAGAGAAAUGUGUCAGAUAUAUGUUGCCUCUGUCCUGUCUGUGUCUUCAGUAAAACACCAACACCAUUUUCUCCGCUGGUAUCCCAGGCACCAAAAGGUAUUCUGGCCCAACACCAAAUAGAUGUUCCAGCCUGACACCAUAAGGGUAUUCGGGCCCAACACCAAAUAGCUAUUCCAGCCCGAUUCCUGGAUAUUCCAGCUAAACACCUAGUUCAACAGCAAUACCGUCCUGAAGACCAGCACCUACAGUGUGGGAAGCCCAUUGUUGGACCCAAAAUUGAAGCCAUGUCUGCAAACAUAGGUGCCCAUGUUAUGUGGAUCCACAGCCAUACUGUAAGAUGGUUCAGAAUCCUGCCAACAAGUGCUGCAUGAAACCCUCAUGCAAUGCUUGUUCACAAACACCUACACCACAGACAUACUCACCAGAUCUAUGUGUAUAUGGAGAAGUACAUAUCAGGAAGGACAGUCGUGGUAUGAGGGCUGUAACAAUGUUUGUCGGUGUGGCAAAUGUAACAAAAACAUAUACACAUAUAGACAAAGAUUUGCAAUGCAUGUUACUAUCCCACAAGGCUGUGUACUGGUUCCUGACCCAAAAGAUCCCUCGUGCUGCUGGGUACCAAGUUGUUUGAUUUCUCCAAAACAAACCAUUGGUAUAGUGGUUGCUCCUGAACCUACUGGAACCGUAACAGGACUACAUCUCUGCGCGGAAGGAUUAAAAAACUACACCAGACAGGCGGCCAUGACAGAUAUCAGUGGGAAAUUUAAACAUGGACUAGAUACUUUGAUGUGUAGCAAAAAAGUUCAUUGUUGAUGGUGGUGUUUUUCUGUGAUAUAUUGACUGGGAUAAUAUUACUCUUCAGAAAUACAGAGCUGUCAAUGUUGCAAUUUUGUUGUGAAAUUCACAAUCCAUGUCCAAAAGUGCUUGUUUUACUAUACAGCAAAGAAGGAGAAAUUGUACUGGGCCGACACCUAUAUGGAAAAUAGUUAAUUUGGAAUUUCUCAGCAACCAAAGGGUUUACAGCAAUGAAACUUCACACACUAGUAGCUGAUAACAAUAAAAACCAGUGGCUAAAAGGAUUUUAUCAAGGUUUGUGAAAUUUUAAUUUUAUUGAAUUUUUAAAAAUUUAAUAGUUAAUUUUUCAUUUAAAUUAAGUA